GGGGAGGUGGCUGAGUGGUCUAAGGCACGUGCUUGGAAAGCACGAGUGGGAGCAAUCCCACCGCGGGUUCGAAUCCCGCUCUCCCCG
rnacentral:tRNA from 1 species